UUCGGGGUGGUUAGUGGCGAACGGGUGAGUAACACGUGAGCAACCUGCCCUUCACCCUGGGAUAACUGUGGGAAACUUCAGCUAAUACCGGAUAUUACCUGUCACUGCAUGGUGGUGGGUGGAAAGAUUUUUUGGUGGGGGAUGGGCUCGCGGCCUAUCAGCUUGUUGGUGGGGUGAUGGCCUACCAAGGCUUUGACGGGUAGCCGGCCUGAGAGGGCGACCGGCCACACUGGGACUGAGAUACGGCCCAGACUCCUACGGGAGGCAGCAGUGGGGAAUUUUGCACAAUGGACGGAAGUCUGAUGCAGCAACGCCGCGUGCGGGAUGAAGGCCUUCGGGUUGUAAACCGCUUUCACCGCCGACGAAUUGAAGACGGUAGGCGGAGAAGAAGCACCGGCUAACUACGUGCCAGCAGCCGCGGUGAUACGUAGGGUGCGAGCGUUGUCCGGAUUUAUUGGGCGUAAAGAGCUCGUAGGUGGUUUGUUGCGUCGGGAGUGAAAACACGCCGCUUAACGGUGUGCUUGCUUUCGAUACGGGCAGACUUGAGGAAGGUAGGGGAGAACGGAAUUCCUGGUGGAGCGGUGGAAUGCGCAGAUAUCAGGAGGAACACCAGUGGCGAAGGCGGUUCUCUGGACCUUUCCUGACGCUGAGGAGCGAAAGCGUGGGGAGCAAACAGGCUUAGAUACCCUGGGUAGUCCACGCCGUAAACGGUGGGCACUAGGUGUGGGGA
rnacentral:rRNA from 1 species